rnacentral:rRNA from 1 species
GUUAAGUCAGGCAACGAACAGACCUGCAUCUAGUUGCCAGCAGAUCCUUCGGGAUGCUGGGUACCCUAGAUGGACCGCCACUGCUAAAGUGGAGGAAGGAGAGGGCGACGGUAGGUCAGUAUGCCCCGAAUCUCCCGGGCUACACGCGGCCUACAAUGGACAGGACAAUGGGCUCCGAUCCCGAAAGGGAAAGGCAAUCCUUUAAACCUGUUCUUAGUUCGGAUUGAGGGCUGUAACUCGCCCUCAUGAAGCUGGAAUCUCUAGUAAUCGCGUGUCAUUAUCGCGCGGUGAAUACGUCCCUGCUCCUU